CCUACGGGGGGCAGCAGUGGGGAAUAUUGGGCAAUGGAGGAAACUCUGACCCAGCAACGCCGCGUGAAUGAUGAAGGUCUUCGGAUUGUAAAGUUCUUUUAAGAGGGAAGAGCAGAAGACGGUACCUCUUGAAUAAGCCACGGCUAACUACGUGCCAGCAGCCGCGGUAAUACGUAGGUGGCAAGCGUUGUCCGGAUUUACUGGGUGUAAAGGGCGUGUAGCCGGGCUGACAAGUCAGAUGUGAAAUCCCGUGGCUCAACCACGGAACUGCAUUUGAAACUGUCGGUCUUGAGUAUCGGAGAGGCAGGCGGAAUUCCUAGUGUAGCGGUGAAAUGCGUAGAUAUUAGGAGGAACACCAGUGGCGAAGGCGGCCUGCUGGACGACAACUGACGGUGAGGCGCGAAAGCGUGGGGAGCAAACAGGAUUAGAUACCCUUGUAGUC
rnacentral:rRNA from 1 species